CAACUGUUAUUGGACCAUCCCAGUUGGUAGAGCAUGAGACUCUUAAUCCCAGGGUUGUGGGUUUGAGCCCCAUGUUGUUGU